GAAAUGCGAUAAGUAGUGUGAAUUGCAGAAUUCAGUGAAUCAUCGAAUCUUUGAACGCACAUUGCGCCCCUUGGUAUUCCAUGGGGCAUGCCUGUUCGAGCGUCAUUUGUACCCUCAAGCUCUGCUUGGUGUUGGGUGUUUGUCCCCGUCUCCGCGCGUGGACUCGCCCCAAAGUGAUUGGCAGCCGGCGUACUGGUCCCGGAGCGCAGCACAUGUCGCGCAAACGAGUGCCUUGGUACGGCGGCGUCCAUAAGCCCCUCUCUCACGCUCUUGACCUCGGAUCAGGUAGGGAUACCCGCUGAACUGAAGC
rnacentral:misc_RNA from 1 species